rnacentral:rRNA from 1 species
UUGGUUAAGUUAUUAAGGGCGCACGGCGAAUGCCUUGGCACUAGGAGCCGAUGAAGGACGGCACUAACACCGAUAUGCUUCGGGGAGCUGUAAGUGAGCUUUGAUCCGGAGAUUUCCGAAUGGGGGAACCCACUACGGUUAAUCGCGUAGUAUCUUGACGUGAAUACAUAGCGUCUUGAAGGCAGACCCAGGGAACUGAAACAUCUAAGUACCUGGAGGAAGAGAAAGAAAAAUCGAUUCCCUGAGUAGCGGCGAGCGAAACGG